rnacentral:lncRNA from 1 species
UGGAAUGGAUGAGGUUUGCCUACGUAUCUCAUAUCUGAUGAGAAUCAAACCCGCUAUCACGACCGUAAAUCCGGAUCCGGUCGUGAUGACGCCUAUCGUGAAACAAGGCCAGCUGACACAACAGCCAAUUCAUUUUUAACAGUUAUAGUAAUACAAUUUAAGUCAUUAACAUACUAUAAAUCCCAAAAUAAAAGUGAGAUAGAACAUUUGCGGAAAAUAAACACAGCCCGACAUCGGGAUGUCACCAGUCGUGAGAAUCUAACAUAAGUCUAAGAGUAUGGAAAAUGGGCUACACAGUCUAUUACAGAAUUCAGUACAAGGGAAAAUAAAGAUAAGAGGGAGAAACACUGGGUUGCGAAUGCUGAGCAGCUACCUAGUGAACUCCGAAUAGCCCACUGGAAGCAAUCAGCGCUCGCUAGCAGUACUCGAGGCUCCUGUAUCUGCACACAGGGUGCAGAGAGUAAUGUGAGUACUCAAACUCAGUGAGUAAUAAAAGUAAAAGCAACUAAGAGAUAAGAAAGCACAUAAAACACGACAAAAUGCUAUAAAGAGGCAGUAUAAAAUCAAUACAAUGUGAUAAAACAGUGAAGACUUCUAAAAAUACCUCAGUUCAGUAAAACCUCUUUAAAACCUCUUUUAACAGUUAAACAAGUGAACGAAAAGUAGUGAGAAAAAAUAAACACAUAAAAUCAGCCCAUCGGGCACAAUAUCAACAGAAUCAGCCCCUCGGGCAAUAACAUGGAACAACCUCAGACCCUCGGGCUAUAUCACAUAUCACACUGGGUACCCGCGCUCACUAGGGGUGUACAGACUCUAGGAGGGGCCCUUUACGGCCCAAGCGCAAUAUCAAGCCAUCUCAUGGCAUAACAACUCAGGCCCUCGGCCUUAUAAUCAUAAGUCAGUAGAACACUGCUGCGGCGUGCAGCCCGAUCCCAUAAUAACCUCACAACACAAACCCUCGGUGCUACUCAGUCAGAAAUCUCUAAAAGCCACUUGGGCAUAGUAAAAUAUAAUGCCCAGCUCAAACUAUCAUUUAAGAUGUCAAAACAGAGUAAACACGGAUGAGUUAUAAAAACAGUAGAAUAUAGCAUGACUGAGUACAAGUAUAGAGUCAAAACAGUGAGGAAUAGUAGUAAAAGUCCCCUAAGGAUCCAAAACAGUUGGCACGAGGCCCAAAUAUGGCAUUCAGCCCCAAAACAUGAUGAUAGCAAACAGUUUUCAAUCAAAUACGUAGUAAAAUAGUUAUUCGGGAUGGACUAAGUCACAAUCCUCAACAGUGUACGAUUUCCCACUCGUCAUCUAGCAUGUGCGUCACCUCAAUAUAGCACAGAGAUGUGAAAUCCGGGAUUUCAUACCCUCAGGACAAUAUUUACAAUCAUUACUCACUUCUAUCCGGUCCAAACUCUAACCCGCGAUGCCCUUGCCUCUCGAAUCGGCCUCUGGAUGCUCCAAAUCUAAUCAAAAUCAGUGCAAAACCAUCAAAAUAUGCUAAGGGAACAAAGUCCACUCGAAAGAAAUCAAAUUACAACACAAAUCCCGAAAUUGGCCAAACCCGACCCCCAGGCCCAUGUCUCAGAAUCCGAUAAAAAUUACAUCAAUAGACUCCUUAUCACUCCCCGAGUUCAUUCAUAUCAAUAGCACCAAAAUCUAACCCCAAAUGACCCCUCAAAUCCCAAAUUCUAGGUCUCCAAUUACAAGCCAGAAUUCUUUAAUAUCUAGGCUUAAAUUCUACAAAUUCCAUGAUUAAUUAGGUAGAAAUCACAUUAGGAUUGAGUAUUAAGUCCAUAAAUCUUACCCAAGUGUUCCCCCUUGAUUCCUUCUUCAAUCCCCUUCCAAAAGCUUCAAAAUCACCCCAAAAUGGAGGAACUUAGACCCAAAAUCACGGAAAUGAGUCUUUUAAACAUUCUGCCCAGCACUUAAAAUUCCUUCAUUGUGAACGCGGUCAACACCUCGCUUUCACGAAGCAAAACCUGACGUUGACCACUUAUUCCUUCUUCGCGAACGCGUCUCCCCUCUCGUGAACGCGAAGACUCAGUUUCACAACCCAUCGCGAACACAACUUCCCUCUUGCGAACGCGUAGCUCAAUGACCCCAACCCUUCGCGAACGGGGGACCUCCUUCGCAAACGCGAAGGCUAAUCCUCCAACCUCACACCCUAACCCUUCGCGAACGCAAAGGCCAAAAGUCUGCAACAGUCACAGCAGAUUUUCUGCGAUCUUUUUCAACUUGAAAUGGUUUGUUUAAACACCCGAAACUCACCUGAGUCCCUCGGGACCUCAACCAAACAUGCCAACAUAUCCCGUAACAUCGUUCAAACUUGUUCCAACCUUCAGAAUGCUCAAAACAACAUCAAAACACCAAAUUUGUAUCGGAUUCAAGCCUAAGAAUUCUAAAACUUUCAAAUUUCUCUUUCGAUCAAAAAGCCUAUCAAACCAUGUCCGAAUGACCUGAAAUUUCACACACACAUCCCAAAUGACACAAUGGACCUAUUGUAACUCCUGAAAUUCCAUUCCGAUCCCUAUAUCAAAAUCUCACCUAUUAACCGGAAAAUGCCAAAAUUCCAACUUCGCCAAUUCAAGCCUAGAUCUACUACGGACUUCCAAAACCCAUUCCAAUCACGCUCCUAAGUCCCAAAUCACCUCCCGAAGCUAUCUGAACCAUCAAAAUUCAUAUCAGAGCCCUAUUUCACAUAAGUUCAUAUCUAGGUGACUUUUCCAACUUAAGCUCACUCAAAAGAGACUAAGUGUCUCAAACCUCACCAAAACCUUUCCGAACCCAAGCCAACAAAUUCGAUAACACAUAAUACCGAUAAACAUAGCAAUAAGAAGCGGAAAUGGGGGAAACGGAGUGGUAAAUCCUGAAACAACCGGCCGAGUCGUUACACCCGCGUAGUUCGUCCAGUUUUGACAUAAUUGGAAAAAACAUGAUAUGGACUCACUUUCAUUUUGAAACACAUUUUCUUUCAAAAAAUCUUGGCAGAGUUUUGAGGUAUUUUCAAAUACCGAGGUUCUCAGAACCGGGUGAAUUUUCUAUCCUGCCUCACUCUUGGUUUUUUUGUUGAUUAUUUUUCCUUAGCCGGUCAACGUGCAAGCCAAAGUAAAUAAAUGUACAAAUAGCACGGAAGGUGCAUCAGGAGGGUCUUUUAUUUCGGGUACACCUGUCCUAGACGGGCCCAACCCCUGUGUCGAGUCCCUUAAGUCAAAUAGACGUGAUGCAAACAAACGUACCUACUAGGGAUCCAGCAUGAGGCUAUGUUAUUCUAGGUUUAAACCUUGGAAUUUGUUCUAGACAUGACUUACCCAAGUGGACAAUGGGAGCGACGUACCGGGAGCACGAAAGUCUACCUCGCCUAGUGGCAGAUCCAUCCUCGUUCUAUUUGGUACGACCUCUAACAGAAAAGCGGGCCACACGAAUGUGUGCACCAUUUUUUAGAAGACUCAGAAGGGAGGCGUAAGAAAACAGUUUAAUACAGUUCAAAUAAUAUCAAAGCGGUAGCGUCAAUUAGCACAUUAGGCCCACAAAAUACAGUAAUAUCAACAAUUAAUAAAGCCAAGUAAAAAUCACAUUAACAAGCUCGAAUUCUUGAACCCUGAACCAGAGAUUUUGGGUUCUAUCCCCAGCAGAGUUGCCAGAGCUGUCACACAUCCUUUUUACCCGAAAAGGAUAGGAAUAGGGAAUUUUUUCAAUUUAAGUGACAUUAAUCAAAAUGGGAUUAUUUAUUUAUUUUCAAAGUCGUCACUUGGGAUAAUUUAUGGCGUCCCAAGUCACCGAUUCAUUUAAAUCCCAAAUCAAGGAAUUUUGACCCCGUUUAAAGUCUGCGAAACCAGAAAAACUAGGUAAGGAAUUUUGUUUACCCGAGAGAAGGUGUUAGGCAUUCCCGUGAUUUCAGCAUGGUCGCUUAGCAAUUUAUACUUGGCUUAUUUUGUCUAAUUACUCAUUUUAGGACCUAUAGUUAUUUUACCUUUUAUCACUAUUAAUUAUUUGGUAAACCGUAUUUAAAGAAUUAACUUAAGAUAAGUUACGCGUAUGUAUACUCAUUUAGUUUAAUGUUUUAAGAAUCAUGUCAUGUGUACGUGUACACAAUUCAUAACACUUAAUUAUUUAAGAAAAAAUUUGGUCAAAGUCGCGCGAACACGUACCUUGAAUUUAUUUGAAAGAACCGUAAUCACAUCAUGAGAACAUGUACGCAAUCAUGAUAGUAGUUUUAAAACCCGCGCCUAAAGCAUUUCUACUAGUAUUUGAUUAAGGCGUUCUACUUACUAAGAAUGUUUGUCCAUGGUCACGCGAACGUGUACCUUGGUUUUAAGUUUAGAAAAAUCAUAAUUAUGUUACGCAAAUGUAUACAUAAUCACGAUAAUUUGAUUAGUUAAAGGAGUGCCCAUUUGGUCAAUAAAUUUACUACCCCAAUUAUCCCUAACAUUGUAACACCAUUCUAAAGUCCAAAUUAACAAGGUAAUGCCAGAACCCAAUUCUGGUUCCUUCUUAAAACGCACCACGAAGUUAUAGGUUCAAAAAUGAUUUAUUAAUGCCACUGCCCAUUUGCAUUAAAUUAUGACCCAAAUCUCUUUAAUCCCAAGUGAAAAACUCAAGACUUACUUAACAGUUAACUGGACAAUAAUUCAUCAAUUUCUACAAAUAUUCUUAAACCACCAACUAAUAUGGUUAAAGAACGUGAAAAAACAGCAGGAACACAAAAACACAUGCAUAAUUCCAACCACUACACAGUAGGCUACUUCAUACAAUAAUUUUAUCAAAAUAAACUCAACCAACAACUAAGCACCAGCAAUAUAUCAAUAAAAGAGAUCAAAACUAAAUAAAGAUCAGACCUUUAUUGCUUCACUGUAAAUCAUCUAUAAUAGCAAACUACGAGUGUUUGACCAUACCUCGACCCAAGACGACGACCUCGACAUUGACCUCGCUGGACUUCCUCAUCUUAAGAGAACAACGGCAAUGAAUGGAGGUGUAGCUACGGCAUUUUUAAGGUUGAAGAAAGAGGGUUUAGUAGUUGGUUUCAUGUUGCAACACAGCUAGUUUUGGGUGGCUCUAAUGGCUGGGUUUGGGACUGUUUUGAUGUGAGGUUUUGGACUAAUUUUUAGCAGAUUCACAGCUUAUUUGCUACUCUCUUGGGCUGGAGUUUGCAACUGAUUUGGGACUAUUAUGGGGAGGUUUCAGGUGACAUCCUUUUUCUCUCUGUUUUUUGACUGUUUCGUUCCUCCCCUGCUAUGUGCCUAAGUUUUCUGUCUGACUAUGGGGACACAAAGAAAAGAGGAAAGGUUCCACCCAGCAAAUCGUGCCCUCCCCUUUUUCUGUAUGUUGUGUGUCUAAGAGAACAGAGAGAUCCAGAGCCUUUUUCUUUUGGUCUGCGGCUGAAGCUUUUUAUUGCAAGAAUGGGGGUUCGAGGAAUUAGCUUCAAAAAAAAUGUGUUCUCUGCCUUUCGUUUUUCUGUUUUCCGUCCCUAUCUUCUAUCCCCUGUUUUUUUUUCUCCUCUAAUUGUGUAAUGAAUGUGUAGAUAUAGGGAUUAAUUGGUGGAAGAGAUAAGGAUUAGGAGUGUGAUUGUCUA